UGGGGAAUAUUGGACAAUGGGCGAAAGCCUGAUCCAGCCAUGCCGCGUGUGUGAAUAAGGUCUUCGGAUUGUAAAGCACGUUAAGUUGGGAGGAAGGGCAGUAAGCGAAUACCUUGCUGUUUUGACGUUACCGACAGAAUAAGCACCGGCUAACUCUGUGCCAGCAGCCGCGGUAAUACAGAGGGUGCAAGCGUUAAUCGGAAUUACUGGGCGUAAAGCGCGCGUAGGUGGUUCGUUAAGUUGAAUGUGAAAGCCCCGGGCUCAACCUGGGAACUGCAUCCAAAACUGGCGAGCUAGAGUAGGGCAGAGGGUGGUGGAAUUUCCUGUGUAGCGGUGAAAUGCGUAGAUAUAGGAAGGAACACCAGUGGCGAAGGCGACCACCUGGGCUCAUACUGACACUGAGGUGCGAAAGCGUGGGGAGCAAACAGG
rnacentral:rRNA from 1 species